AGUGGCGGACGGGUGAGUAACGCGUGGGUAACCUGCCCCAUACCGGGGGAUAACAUUCAGAAAUGAGUGCUAAUACCGCAUAAGACCACAGUGCCGCAUGGCACAGGGGUCAAAACUCCGGUGGUAUGGGAUGGACCCGCGUCUGAUUAGGUAGUUGGCGGGGUAACGGCCCACCAAGCCGACGAUCAGUAGCCGACCUGAGAGGGUGACCGGCCACACUGGGACUGAGACACGGCCCAGACUCCUACGGAAGGCAGCAG
rnacentral:rRNA from 1 species